rnacentral:misc_RNA from 1 species
GCAAACUUGGUCAUUUAGAGGAAGUAAAAGUCGUAACAAGGUUUCCGUAGGUGAACCUGCGGAAGGAUCAUUAGAAAAUAACCGGCCUAGCCGGUAAUAAAUUCUAUCCACCUUGUGUGCAAACAAUGAAAAAAGAGAGAGAAAAUUGGAUACUUUUCGUAUUCAACCUCUCUAAAGUUUUCUAUAAACUCCAUCAAAUUUUGAAAUGAAAACUAUUUUUUUAAUAAAAAUAUCAUACAACUUUCAACAACGGAUCUCUUGGCUCUCGCAUCGAUGAAGAACGCAGC